UUGGCAGGGAACAGCUCCCUCAGAGGCCCAACCAGGAUGAGGCAGAGCCUUUCAAGAGAGAUAAAGGAAAACAGCCAGCCCCCGUGGGUUCAUCUUUAUAGCAUCUGAAACUAGGACAAGAGCCAAAUUUUCCAAAAUGCCAGAAGGGGUAACAAAGAAGUAACCAGUUGGAAGCUGAGGACUGGCAAAGUUCAAGACAAAAAUGAAGAAGCUGUGAUAAAGUCCCUCAAGCUUCAUGUGGCUGUACCUCCAGAGGCACCUGAGGGUUCCUACACUCUGAGAGGAUCAAGAAGAACAGAUGUACAAUCCACUUACUUUUGAGAUGAUAUUCAUCUAAUGCUGACCCUCUUGUCUAUUUGGGUAUCACCCCAUAAACUGAGCGGCCUGGUGGGAUGAAGGGCACAGGAUAACUGAGUGAGUUUCUACACAAAUCAAUUCAUUCAAUUCUUUGCUCAAACAUGACCCUCCUCAUCAGUGGCUUCCUUAUUUAACAUAGCCAGUUACUCUUUAUUCUCUCAUUCUGUUUGGUUUUAUUCAUAGCAUUUGUUUAUCACUAUUCCAAUUUAUACGAGUUGUUAAUUUGCCAAAUAUUAACCAGAAUGUAAGUUUGAUGAGGAAAGAAGCCUUUCUCAUUUUCACCUGUGUGUCCAUUGCCUAGAAGAAUAUCUGGUGCAUGGCAGGCACUCAGUUUCUAUUGAAUGAAUUAUGAGUGAAUGAAUGAAUGAUCUUUGAUGGGUGGGAAAGCAAAAAAUGGGUUUAAGACAUCAAACAAAAGGUGUAGGAAUGCUAGUGUUAGAAAAAAGAGGAAAGACUGGGAAUGAAGCUCUUAAUAGAAUAGAAAGAGUACUUCCGUCAACCUGCCCUGGAGGGAUAAGGGCUCAAGAGAUUAGACUGGGGAGGUGUGAAGGAAAGGCUCAAGGCCCAGAUCUCAGAGUCCAUCUCAGGUUUUGCAGUGCCUGGCAUAGGCUUUCUUUGCACAGACUUAAUUCUCUACCACCCAGGUGUUGAAAUGAUGUUGCCCCAGGCACAUUGGAAGCUUUUAUCUGAGUUAAACCAGAGGAAAUUGGUGAAUAGAAAAUAAUUCAAAGCACUUCUUUUUACAUCAGCUUUAGAGAGGCAUUAUUCCUUGGCUCAUGGGUUGAGGGAAAAGCUGCCUAGGUAAAAAAAUAAAAUAAAAUAAAACAAUAAUAAUGCUGGGAAUAAUUCAAAUAACAGCAGCUACUAUAGUAGGGAAGGGAUAAAACCUAGUGGUUGAGAGUUAGACAGCCUGGAUUUGAAUACUGGCUUAACUACUUAGAAAUUUCUAUGCUUUAAUU